ACGCGCCCCGACAUUCAACAGGAAGCUGGUAAAAGCGCCUGCUUUCAGUUUGCUUCUCGUACGCUGAUUUAUGAAAUGAGUGUUUUUAUUGAAGUCGAUUCAAAUGUGUUUUACAACCUAUAAGCUGCUGCUAAGUAUGAUUUUCCCUGUAAACAGUAAAUCUUUUAUGUUGGUAUAACAACAGCUGAUCUAAUUUAGUCUGAUUGUUGUGUCACUUCCUGUAAUUACAUAAACACAGUGAGCCGUAAACCACCGAGUACGCUAAUACGUCCGCUUUAAUUUCACUGCAUCUUCCUCUCAGCCGGCCCCUAUAAUUACAAACCACUGUAAACCGUCUGACUGUGCUAAUAACAGCUAACACGCUAACACGCCGUCCUGAGAGUCCCACGGCGUGAUCGCUUCACCGUCCGUCUGGAAAUUGGAGCUUCUUCCUGCUGCUGGCUGGCUGGCUGGCUGGAGUGUGUGUAUGAAAACUAAAAAGGAAAAAGAGCAUCGGUGGAGUUUGCAAAGAUAAGAGAAAAAAACCUACACAGAAAAAUCCAAGAUUUAAAAGUAAAUUAAAAACUAAAAACAAAAAUCAGUGCAUACAUCAUGAAUGCUCUGCAGCUCUGGGUGCUGAAGCCUGAGGCCUGACCCUCCAGAGGAAGCUCGUAUCCUCAAUCUACUUCAGUUGGUCACUGCUACAGCUCGUGAGGAACGUCGAUCAGUCAGUAAAUCAACAGCCUCGCCUUCACGCUCAGGUCUCUCUUGAAGGGCCAGCACAGUGCUCGCAUCACCACAGAUGCUACACCCAUCUAUCAACCUCCUACUCCAGGAUCCAGGAUCCGGUACUCGUGAACAAAAGUCCGAGGUAUGCCCACUCCUCUGUUUGGUUCAGGAGCCCAUUCCCAACAUGACGCUAGAACUGUGUGACUGUGAGAUCACCGCUGGACGAAGCCAAAAGGACAAGUUUGCCUUUUGUGGUUUAAAACUGUUGUGUUUUUUACCCAUAAACGAGCCGGCUGUAGGUCAGUAGGUCAUUCGCUAACCUGGAUUUUGGUGGUUUGAACUCCAAAGUGUCCUUCACAACGAUACUGGAUCUUAAAAUGGUCCCAGUGUAUUCUCAAGAUGAGAGUUAAAACUGAAGACUAAUAAAACAAAAUUGAAAUUGUUUAAACAAUAAUGGUAAAUUAUGUUGAUGUAUAUCAUAAUCGUUUGACAGAAGAUAAAAUCUCUCUACUCUGUUUACCGCUGCAAUCAUUUAGCCGGGGUUAGCCAAUCAGCUGCCAGCAUUUUCAUAAUAAA